ACAGAAUGGUGAGGCUUGUUCUGUGAGGGAAGACUGCAUGCCCGGCACAGAGCAUGCCCUCCCACACAGAGCAUGUAAACGACAGAGCCUGUCCACCCACACAGAGCAUGUAAAGAGUAGAGCACGCCCAUCCACACAGAGCAUGUAAGAACAGAGCAUGUCCACACACACAGAGCAUGUAAGAACAGAGCAUGUAAAGAACAGAGCAUGCCCACCCACAGAGAGCAUGUAAGAACAGCAUGCCCACCCAAA
rnacentral:lncRNA from 1 species